ACCAGCAGAGGACCUGGUGAUGAGCUCCUCAUAUUACGAUCCCAUAGGUCUUUGCGAUCCUCCAUCAUUUGAAACCUCGCCACUUUAACGGUUAUCCGAUUGUUGUCUUAGCACGAGUUCAACAAGAAUUCUAGCCCUUUUAGCGUUCACAAUGCUUCCAAGAACCAGAAUCAUGAUUUGAUGUCUUAUCUGAGAUCUGUUAAACGACCUAGGUGAACUAUUUUACACUUUGCUGCUGGAAAUCGUUCUGCGCAAGUUUAAGUCAAGUCAAAGAAAAACUCGGCAAGAUGACAGCUGAGUACAACUUACUAAUAAGUUAUAAAGUUGAAUGCUUAUCUGCAUUUGAAAAUUCACAUGUAUAGCUAACCUCUAAGUUAAAUCAGCUUUUAAAUAUCACUUUUAUAAUUACUUUGGAGGUAUGCAGAAUGUAUAAAAACAUGCUGUUUUCGAAUGCAGCAGCUUGAUGUUACUGCAUAGCUGUACAUAGUAGAAGGCUCAUGAUACUUAUGUAUUUUGCAUACUAGUUAAAUAUAUGGUAAAUUUAUAUACAUACAAUAUUUGUAUAUAUACUUAAGUAUUUGUUUGAAGUUUGUGUAUUUUUCUGCUGGAAAUUAACCUGAAAAUAUUACACUGGGUCCUCAAUAAUAAUAACACUAUUCUCAUAUCAUAAGACAAUGUAUAGAGGAUAUUACAUAUGUUUGGAGAUACAGAUUUUAUCCUCAAGUGUUGAAAAGUUCUCUCAUGAGUCAGGGUAGCAAACAAGUGAGAGAUUGAUAAUCGUUAUCUGUAUGCAACCACGUAUAAUAUUCCGUUUAUCAUAUAAUUAUCCAUGAAAACAACUUGUAUACAAAGGGACUCUUAGGCCUAGGUUAUACAUCAAACUUNACAUAUGUCAAAUGCAACUCAANCAAUAGAUUAUCUAUCCUCUUUGAUGUAAUUGCAUUUGGUACAUUUGAGGUCAGACUUAUAACCUCGGCCUUAGUGUAGUACAUGUACAAUUAUAAUAGGAAAUCUAUCCAAGUACAUAAGAAUGUGGUCAAAUUUUCUUGUAAAUCCUCAUGUGCUAGCAUUUUUCAUUGUUUUUUUAUUGCUUUUUGAUACCCUAGAUGUAAUUUUAUUAUUGGCAUGUUGGUUUACACUGAGAUGAUAGUUUGUAUAUAUGUAGGGCUAGUGAAAAACAAUUAUAGAAUAGUUUAUGAUAAGGGAUCAGCUUUUCUUAGAGAAUAAUCAGGGAAAUGAUAAAAACUUUGUAUUUAAUACUUGUUGAAUUUGUAUAGUAUUACAAUAAAUACCAUUCAUUUCAA
rnacentral:lncRNA from 1 species